GCCCGGCAUGGUAGGGCGUGCCUGUAUUCCCUGCUACUGGAGGAGGCUGAGGCUGGUAAAUGGCUCUGUUGAGUUCAGGAGUGCUGAGCUAUAGUAAGGAUAAAUAGGAUAUGAUGUCCAAACUAAAUCUGGCACUAAUGUGAUGAGCCUUUGGGGAGUGGAAAGCCAUAACACUGCCUAAGGAGGAGCAAAAUAAUGUAGGUUGGAAAAAUGGAGCAGGUCAAAGCAUCCAUGCUAAUCUUUGUUGGGAUUGGGUUUGUGAGUGGCCACUAUACUUCUAGCCUGUGUGAGAAAGGGAGACCCAGUCUCAA
rnacentral:SRP_RNA from 1 species